rnacentral:misc_RNA from 1 species
GAUGGAUGAUGACCAGGCUCAUAGUGUUUCAUCUGAGAAUCCGUCUUCGCUGGCUGGUGAUCGGAUGAUUGUGGUGGCAAAUCUGUUGCCCCUGAAAGCAAAAAGGAGACCAGACAAUAAAGGCUGGAGCUUUAAUUGGAAUGAGGACUCGUUACUUUUGAGACUUAGGGAUGGUUUACCUGAAGACAUGGAAGUGAUAUAUGUUGGGUCGUUAUGUGUUGAUAUUGAUCCGAUUGAACAGGAUGACGUGUCUAGUUAUCUGUUGGAGAAGUUUAGAUGUGUUCCUGCAUUUCUU